rnacentral:rRNA from 1 species
GCAAGUCGAACGAACUUAACCAUUAGUUUACUAUUGGAGCGGUUAGUGGCGGACUGGUGAGUAACACGUAAGCAACCUGCCUAUCAGAGGGGAACAACAGUUAGAAAUGACUGCUAAUACCGCAUAUGCCUUAGAAUCACAUGGUUCAAAAGGGAAAGGAGCAAUCCGCUGAUAGAUGGGCUUGCGUCUGAUUAGCUAGUUGGUGGGGUAAUGGCCUACCAAGGCGACGAUCAGUAGCCGAACUGAGAGGUUGAACGGCCACAUUGGGACUGAGAUACGGCCCAGACUCCUACGGGAGGCAGCAGUCGGGAAUAUUGCGCAAUAGAGGAAACUCUGACGCAGUGACGCCGCGUGCAGGAAGAAGGUUUUCGGAUUGUAAACUGCUUUAGACAGGGAAGAACAAAGACAGUACCUGUAGAAUAAGCUCCGGCUAACUACGUGCCAGCAGCCGCGGUAAUACGUAGGGAGCGAGCGUUAUCCGGAUUUAUUGGGUGUAAAGGGUGCGUAGACGGGAAGUCAAGUUAGUUGUGAAAUCCCUCGGCUUAACUGAGGAACUGCAACUAAAACUGAUUUUCUUGAGUACUGGAGAGGAAAGUGGAAUUCCUAGUGUAGCGGUGAAAUGCGUAGAUAUUAGGAGGAACACCGGUGGCGAAGGCGACUUUCUGGACAGAAACUGACGUUGAGGCACGAAAGUG